UACGUAGGGUGCGAGCGUUGUUCGGAAUUAUUGGGCGUAAAGAGCUCGUAGGCGGUUUGUUGCGUCGACUGUGAAAACCCGAGGCUUAACCUCGGGCCUGCAGUCGAUACGGGCAGACUAGAGUUCGGUAGGGGAGACUGGAAUUCCUGGUGUAGCGGUGAAAUGCGCAGAUAUCAGGAGGAACACCGGUGGCGAGGGCGGGUCUCUGGGCCGAUACUGACGCUGAGGAGCGAAAGCGUGGGGAGCGAACAGG
rnacentral:rRNA from 1 species